rnacentral:rRNA from 1 species
GACGAACGCUGGCGGCGUGCCUAAUACAUGCAAGUAGAACGCUGAAGGAGGAGCUUGCUUCUCUGGAUGAGUUGCGAACGGGUGAGUAACGCGUAGGUAACCUGCCUGGUAGCGGGGGAUAACUAUUGGAAACGAUAGCUAAUACCGCAUAAGAGUAGAUGUUGCAUGACAUUUGCUUAAAAGGUGCAAUUGCAUCACUACCAGAUGGACCUGCGUUGUAUUAGCUAGUUGGUGGGGUAACGGCUCACCAAGGCGACGAUACAUAGCCGACCUGAGAGGGUGAUCGGCCACACUGGGACUGAGACACGGCCCAGACUCCUACGGGAGGCAGCAGUAGGGAAUCUUCGGCAAUGGACGGAAGUCUGACCGAGCAGCGCCGCGUGAGUGAAGAAGGUUUUCGGAUCGUAAAGCUCUGUUGUAAGAGAAGAACGAGUGUGAGAGUGGAAAGUUCACGCUGUGACGGUAUCUUACCAGAAAGGGACGGCUAACUACGUGCCAGCAGCCGCGGUAAUACGUAGGUCCCGAGCGUUGUCCGGAUUUAUUGGGCGUAAAGCGAGCGCAGGCGGUUAGAUAAGUCUGAAGUUAAAGGCUGUGGCUUAACCAUAGUACGCUUUGGAAACUGUUUAACUUGAGUGCAAGAGGGGAGAGUGGAAUUCCAUGUGUAGCGGUGAAAUGCGUAGAUAUAUGGAGGAACACCGGUGGCGAAAGCGGCUCUCUGGCUUGUAACUGACGCUGAGGCUCGAAAGCGUGGGGAGCAAACAGG